UAUUUUUUGCAUAUUUCCCAUAGUCUGCUUUUUCCAACAAGGUGGAAUGUAUGAUAAGGUGCAACCUACGAAAUUCAGAUGGCUGGGAGCUAGUUCCUCAGGGAACUUCAUCAAAAGACCUCUGGUGUGGGCAAGCUUCUGUUCCUCCAGCUCUUCCCUCUUUCUGAGUCAUCAUUUCUGACAGCCAUCAUUCUACCUCUUUUGUACGUCCCUCAUCCUGAGUACUGUCCGGUUAACUUCGGAAGAAGGCAGGAGUUCCUUUAUUCUUCAUGCUCAGAAAGGAACACAGAACAACAGGUGGAAAACCAUAAACAGCAUCCUAUUUACAUUUGUUCAGUAACUGUUACCUUCCAGGCUCCAAAACUCAGCUCAUGGAAGACAACGUACAGUAAAAGAUCUACUUUAUUUUCCAAUAUGCCUUAAGUGUAUGGACUCAGGAGCAUCAUAAUCAUACGGUUUUAAAAUCCUACUAAUAUAGCACAAUGGAGGGAAAACAAAACUUAAUUAGAACUUCUAAAAAUUAAAUAAGAAUUUGCAAGAUACUGUUUCCCCCCCAAAAAAGCUUUAAGUAUUUUUUG